rnacentral:rRNA from 1 species
CCCUUAGAUGUUCUGGGCCGCACGCGUGCUACACUGAGUGGAUCAGCGGGUCAGGUUGCGCGAAAGCGUUUCCUAAUCUUUAAAUCCGCUCGUGAUGGGGAUUGACGGUUGCAAUUUUCUGUCAUGAACGAGGAAUACCUUGUAAGCGCGGGUCAUCAUCCCGCGCUGAAUACGUCCCUGCCCUUUGUACACACCGCCCGUCGCUCCUACCGAUAGAGUGGUCCGGUGAGGCUUUGGGAUCUGAGCGGAAAGAGCGUUUCGCUGUUUCUGCUCGGAAAACUCAGUCGAACCUUAUCAUUUAGAGGAAGGAGAAGUCGUAACA